rnacentral:rRNA from 1 species
UGAGGAAUAUUGGGCAAUGCCCGCAAGGGUGACCCAGCAACGCCGCGUGGAGGAUGAAUGUCGUAAGAUUGUAAACUCCUGUUAGAGGGGAAGAAUAGUACCGGUUGGACCGGUAUAUGACUGUACCCUCAGAGAAAGCCCCGGCUAACUACGUGCCAGCAGCCGCGGUAAUACGUAGGGGGCAAGCGUUGUCCGGAUUUACUGGGUGUAACGGGCGCGCAGGCGGGAUAAAAAGUCAGUGGUGAAAUCCUACAGCUUAACUGUAGAACUGCCUUUGAUACUUUUAUUCUUGAGUUCGGGAGAGAGAAACGGAAUUCCAGGUGUAGUGGUGAAAUACGUAGAUAUCUGGAAGAACACCAGUUGCGAAGGCGGUCUCUUGGUCCGACACUGACGCUGAGGCGCGAAAGCGUGGGGAGCAAACA